rnacentral:rRNA from 1 species
AUACGGAGGGUGCAAGCGUUAAUCGGAAUUACUGGGCGUAAAGCGCGCGUAGGCGGUUUAGUCAGUCAGAUGUGAAAGCCCCGGGCUCAACCUGGGAACUGCAUUUGAUACUGCUGAACUAGAGUAUGGUAGAGGGAAGUGGAAUUCCGGGUGUAGCGGUGAAAUGCGUAGAUAUCCGGAGGAACACCAGUGGCGAAAGCGGCUCACUGGCGCGAUACUGACGCUGAGGCUCGAAAGCGUGGGGAGCGAACGGGAUUAGAAACCCCAGUAGUCC